GAAACAAAAGGAAAAUAGUGUAAUAGAUGCUUUUAAAAAGAAAAAAGGAUUUUAUCCCUUAUAUGUAUACUGUUCAGUAUCUAUGCGUUGAAUAAAAUCUAUCUUUCUACUUGUACCACCAUACAUUUCAGCGCUUCGAAAAACAAACUUGUUUGUUUACAUACAGCGUAACGAAAAGGAACAGCUUGAGGUAUUGGUCAACUGUUAACAGCAUUGGAGAGCCUAAAGUUGUAGUUAAGAAAAAGUUAUGUUACAUAGAGGACUAGAAGCCAUUUCAAUAUUGGAAAAGUGUUACCUGUAUCCUGAUGAUUUAGACCAGGUAUCAAAAUGUCAACAUCUUAGCUACUGCUCAGUGCUCUGUAAACACUAUAGAGGCUGUAAGGCAUGUCAUGGACAACAGUGACUUCAAAGCUAUGACCAGAAGGAAAGGAUACAGUAGGCAUUCUGACUGCAUUCACACUUUGAAAUUCAUCCAACAACUGCAGGACAAGAUGAUGGUAGAUCUGCACAAGGGAAUCCAUGCUUUGGUAAGAGAAAUGGAUGUUAGAAUCACCACUAUGAAGCUGGCCCUGAAUGAAGCCCUUUGCUACAACUCAUACAAGAAGCUCAAGAGAUAAAUUCUGACAGGCAAGACCAAAAAGGCUCCUGAGUAAGCUGAAGCAUCUUGUUGAGCUGAGGAUGAUCUGGUCUUUCUCAGAUGAAAAGAAUUUAUGCUGCUUCCACAACACCCAGAACAACAGAUGGUUUGCCUAUAAUCCAUGAAAUGUCCUGUGUAUCAUGAAAACCAAGUUCCCCCAAACUACAGGGAUCAAACUACGGAUCAUUGACAGAGUCUGUUAUGAUCCCUCAAUCCAUUGGGAUAUGAUCCCUUUUUGUGUUGAUUUCUUAUCCUGAUGAAAUGUUCAAUUUACUAUAUUCGAAAUGCAUCUAUAAUUUAAUUAUUUGUAAUUUGAAUUAAUUGAAUAUGGAAACAAUUGUAGGUUAUAAGAAAUUGAUGUUGUUCAAAAUUGGAGUUAUAUUAAUAAAUUGAUGUCUAUCAGUCAA